AUUGAACGCUGGCGGCAGGCCUAACACAUGCAAGUCGAGCGAGCGGCGGACGGGUGAGUAAUGUAUGGGGAACUGCCUGAUGGAGGGGGAUAACUACUGGAAACGGUAGCUAAUACCGCAUACCAUCAGAUGUGCCCAGAUGGGAUUAGCUAGUAGGUGGGGUAACGGCUCACCUAGGCGACGAUCCCUAGCUGGGCUGAGAGGAUGAGCAGCCACACUGGGACUGAGACACGGCCCAGACUCUGACGGGAGGAAGCAGUGGGGAAUAUUGCACAAUGGGCGCAAGCCUGAUGCAGCCAUGCCGCGUGUGUGAAGAAGGCCGUCGGGUUGUAAAGUACUUUCAGCGGGGAGGCGUUACCCGCAGAAGAAGCACCGGCUAACUCCGUGCCAGCCGCCGCGGUAAUUC
rnacentral:rRNA from 1 species